GUUUUGAUAGUAAUCUUGUAGUUGAAACACCAUUAAUUCGUCCUCGAAGAAACUAUAUAUAUUUUCUUUGUACUUUAAAUCAAAUAUUAAAUGGAUUAGACAAAACAUAUAGUCAAGAUAUUUAUUGUUAAAAAUAUGUUUUUACUGAACCCAUAAUUAUUUAUAUACAACUAAAAUAUAUUUUGUGUACUAAUACAUCUACCCGCGUAUCAUUUUUCACUGAAAUAUAAUAUCAAAAACUGAAUGCUUUAUUUGAUUAUAUAAAUGUAGUUCAUGUAAAUAAUUACAUAUUUCUUACCUAAUUUUUGUUGUAUAUUUUAAAAUUCAUGUUCAUUAUAAAAUAUGUGUUGAUAUUAGAAGAGCAAAUAAUAAUAAAAUAUGUGUUGAAAAAUUACAAGAGCAAAUAAUUUAUAUUGUCUAAAUAUAUUAUGCAUAAUGUAUUUGGCUUAUGUUAAGCUGAAAAUAAUUAUAGAAAAUUAUAAGUCUAACUAAAAUACGAAAGACACUCAAGAAUUAAAAAAAAUUCCCAAUUAGUUAUAUUGCAAAUUAAUGCAUUUAUUAUAAAACAUAAAAAAUUUAAGUUCUAAGAUUCUACUGAACUAAAAAUAAUAACUUACAUGCAUGAAAAACCUCAUAUGCCAAGUUCAUAUUUAAUAAAUAUUGGAUUCAUCUAACCAUAUAUAUAUACAUAUAUAAUUUAUGAAAAGAAAUUUGUAAUAUUUAUUAACAUGUUUUGACUAAGACUAAGGAAAUAUUCAAUCAUAAUAAUAAUCAAAAUCAAUAACAAAUAAAAAACAAUAUCUUGACAAGAUAUUAUAAGGUAAGGAAUUUAUUUUUAUAUUAUUUUGACUACAAUCCAAGAAAUUAAGCUCAAGGAGAUUUCGAUAAAAUUUUCCUUUUAUGCAAAUUUAUGUUAUUAUAUAUACAACAACAUAAAUCAAAAUAAAACACUAAAAAAAAAUUAAGAAAAGUUCAUACAAAAUGGGUUUCUCCAAAAACAUAUUGAUCACAUUUGUUUUCACCAUAUUCUUCGUAGUAUCUAAUGUUCAUUGCUACCCAAACUUUGAAGUAAAACAAGACUACAAAAAAUGCUACCUUCCGUGUAAACAAAUAGCCGAAGGAUGUGAAAGGUUUUGUGCAGCUAUGACCAUUCAGUUAGUUGGUGAAUGUAUUUCUGAUAUAUGUUGUUGUAGGUCAAAAAGGCCAAAUUAACAUUAUUAGAGAUUAUACAUUUUGCAGUGUCAAGAGUGCUAAUAAAGAUCCAAUUCAAUUAGCAAACUGAAGUUACUUUGAUAGAGAAAUUAUCUUUCCCUAAAAGAAAUAAAAAAUAUUAAUUCAACAUAUAAGAUAUUUAAAUAUAAAAUAUCAAAAUUACUAGUGAAACAAGUCCUCAUAUACUAAUGGUGAAUUCAAUAUUUUUUUGGAUAACUAGAAUAUAUUUUUUUUAAUUUGAUAUUUUUCGGCGCAGAACCUUUGAUUCUCUUUUUAAUCGAUUGAACACAAUUGGCUUUGAUAUUUUAUAUUUGUAAAGGAUAACAAUUUGCGAGUAUGGUUUUGAUAGUAAUCUUGUAGUUGAAACACCAUUAAUUCGUCCUCGAAGAAACUAUAUAUAUUUUCUUUGUACUUUAAAUCAAAUAUUAAAUGGAUUAGACAAAACAUAUAGUCAAGAUAUUUAUUGUUAAAAAUAUGUUUUUACUGAACCCAUAAUUAUUUAGAUACACCUAAAAUAUAUUUUGUGUACUAAUACAUCUGCCCGCGUAUCAUUUUUCACUGAAAUAUAAUAUCAAAAACUGAAUGCUUUAUUUGAUUAUAUAAAUGUAGUUCAUGUCAAUAAUUACAUAUUUCUUACCUAAUUUUUGUUGUAUAUUUUAAAUUUCAUGUUCAUUAUAAAAUAUGUGUUUAUAUUAGAAGAGCAAAUAAUAAUAAAAUAUGUGUUGAUAUUACAAGAGCAAAUAAUUUAUAUUGUCUAAAUAUAUUAUGCAUGAUGUAUUUGGCUUAUGUUAAGCUGAAAAUAAUUAUAAGAAAAUUAAAAGUGUAACUAAAAUACGAAAGACACUCAAGAAUAAAAAAAAAUCCCAAUUAGUUAUAUUGCAAAUUAAUGCAUUUAUUAUGAAAAUUGAAAAUUUAAGUUCUAAGAUUCUACUGAACUAAAAAUAAUAACUUACAUGCAUGGAAAAACCUCAUAUGCCAAGUUAUUAUUUAAUAACUAUUGGAUUCAUCUACCUAUAUAUAUAUAUAUAUAUUUAAAAAUACAUAUAAUUUAUGAAAAGAAAUUUGUAAUAUUUAUUAACAUAUUUUGACUAAGACUAAGGAAAUAUUCGAUCAUAAUAAUAAUCUAAAUCAAUAAAAAAUAACAAACAAUAUCUUGACAAGAUUUUUCUAUAUAAAAAAAGAAUAAAAUUUGACACAAAUGGUAAAGAUAUUAUUAGGUAAGGAAUUUAUUUUUAUAUUAUUUUGACUACAAUCCAAGAAAUUAAGCUCAAGGAUAUUUUGAUAAAAUUUUCAUUUUAUGCAAAUUAAUGUUAUUAUAUAUACAACAACAUAAAUCAAAAUAAAACACUAAACAAAAAUUAAGAAAAGUUCAUACAAAAUGAGUUUCUCCAAAAACAUAUUGAUCGCAUUUGUUUUCACCAUCUUCUUCCUAGUAUCUAAUGUUCAUUGCUAUCCAGACUUUGAAGUAAAACAAGACUACAAAAAAUGCUACCUUCCGUGUAAACAAAUAGCCGAAGGAUGUGAGAGGUUUUGUGCAGCUAUGACCAUUCAGUUAGUUGGUGAAUGUAUUUCUGAUAUAUGUUGUUGUAGGUCAAAAAGGCCAAAUUAACAUUAUUAGAGAUUAUACAUUUUGUACCAGUGUCAAGAGUGCUAAUAAAGAUCCAAAUCAAUUAGCAAACUGAAGUUACUUUGAUAGAGAAAUUAUCUUUCCUUAAAAGAAAUAAAAAAUAUUAAUUCAACA